rnacentral:rRNA from 1 species
UACAGAGGGUGCAAACGUUGCUCGGAAUUACUGGGCGUAAAGCGCGUGUAGGCGGAUUGGUGUGUCAGAUGUGAAAUCCCUGGGCUCAACCCAGGAACUGCACCUGAAACUACCAGUCUUGAGUGGUGGAGAGGGAAGUGGAAUUCCUGGUGUAGAGGUGAAAUUCGUAGAUAUCGGGAGGAACACCGGUGGCGAAGGCGGCGACCUGGGUAGAUACUGACGCUGAGGCGCGAAAGCGUGGGGAGCAAACAGG